GUCUGCACUAUGCAGACUGGCAGAAUUCUGGUAUGAGUGAAUCAGAGCAGAGUAAAUUGUAGCAGACCAGCAAAAACGUGCUUUAUUCCAGUAUUAAUCAUCAAUAGAAUUAUUAGUAUAUUUUUAAUUAGUUGCUGGUUUUAAAAUUGACUAUUCCUGUAUAUCUGUUGUUUUCUAUAAGGGCCGUUGUUAUGCAUACCAUAACAAAAACGGCAGGAAUACUGAGGAAGUCUACAACUUCAAGAUGCAGGCCCCAAUGACGUCCCAGUGUGAUGCAAAGGCUGUCUGGCAGGCUCAUAGACAUCUCCUGUUAACUGAAAGAGAAGCCUUUAAAAUAGUUGUCCAUUUCGACCACACUGUCUGCUUCCCAUUUCUCAGUGUCUGCACAAAAACAGUGACUUUUCCACCUCAAGUCUUUUGACGAGUUUUAAAAACAGUUAUUUUCAUUUAUCUGAAUUGUGGUUCAGAAUUUCACAGAAUCUAAUACACUUGACUAUGUGUUUCAAAGAUAUUUGCAAAACCAUCAGUCUUUUGUACAAAACACAUUCAAUGGUCAAACAUUAAAAAAUGAAGCUUUACAAAA